UACGUAGGGGGCUAGCGUUGUCCGGAUUUAUUGGGCGUAAAGAGCGUGUAGGCGGCCAUGUAGGUCCGGUGUGAAACUCGAGGCUUAACCUCGGAGAUGUCAUCGGAAACCAUUUGGCUAGAGUCCGGAAGAGGAGAGUGGAAUUCCUGGUGUAGCGGUGAAAUGCGCAGAUAUCAGGAGGAACACCUGAGGUGAAGACGGGUUGCUGGGCUGACACUGACGCUGAGGCGCGAAAGCCAGGGGAGCAAACGGG
rnacentral:rRNA from 1 species